GACGAACGCUGGCGGCGGGCCUAAUACAUGCAAGUUGAGCGCUUAAGGGGGGUACGUUUACCGACUGGGUGGGGAGCGAACGGGUGAUGAAUGCGAGGGGGAUCUGCCUUGGGGCGGGGGGCAACAUUAGGAAACGUAUUCUAAUACCGCAUAAGAGCUUUAAACAGAAGGUUUAAGGUUGAAAGAGGCAAUUGCAUCACUCAAAGCGGAUCACGCGUUGUAUGAGCUAGUUGGUGAGGUAAAGGCUCACCAAGGCGGUGAUACAUAGCCGACCUGGGAGGGAGAACGGCUACAAUGGGAAUGAGGCACGGCCCCAACCCCUAAGGGAGGCAGCAGUAGGGAAUCUUCGGACAUGGAGGAAAAUCUGAACCAGGACAGCCGCGUGAGUGAAGGAGGUUCUCCGAUCGUAAAACUCUGUUGGUAGGGAAGAACGUUGGUGAGAGUGGAAAGCUCAUCAAGUGACGUUAACAACACAGAAAGGGACGGCUAACUACGUG
rnacentral:rRNA from 1 species